rnacentral:rRNA from 1 species
AACGCGUGAGCAAUCUGCCUUUAAGAGGGGGAUAACAGUCGGAAACGGCUGCUAAUACCGCAUAAAGCAUUGAAACCGCAUGAUUUUGAUGCCAAAGGAGCAAUCCGCUUUUAGAUGAGCUCGCGUCUGAUUAGCUGGUUGGCGGGGUAACGGCCCACCAAGGCGACGAUCAGUAGCCGGACUGAGAGGUUGAACGGCCACAUUGGGACUGAGACACGGCCCAG